rnacentral:rRNA from 1 species
GACGAACGCUGGCGGCGUGCCUAAUACAUGCAAGUUGAGCGAUGAAGAUUGGUGCUUGCACCAAUUUGAAGAGCAGCGAACGGGUGAGUAACGCGUGGGGAAUCUGCCUUUGUGCGGGGGACAACAUUUGGAAACGAAUGCUAAUACCGCAUAACAACUUUAAACAUAAGUUUUAAGUUUGAAAGAUGCAAUUGCAUCACUCAAAGAUGAUCCCGCGUUGUAUUAGCUAGUUGGUGAGGUAAAGGCUCACCAAGGCGAUGAUACAUAGCCGACCUGAGAGGGUGAUCGGCCAAAUUGGGACUGAGACACGGCCCAAACUCCUACGGGAGGCAGCAGUAGGGAAUCUUCGGCAAUGGGCGAAAGUCUGACCGAGCAACGCCGCGGGAGUGAAGAAGGGUUUCGGAUCGUAAAACUCUGUUGGUAGAGAAGAACGUGGGUGAGAGUGGAAAGCUCAUCAAGUGACGGUAACUACCCAGAAAGGGACGGCUAACUACGUG